rnacentral:rRNA from 1 species
UACAGAGGUGGCAAGCGUUGUUCGGAAUUACUGGGCGUAAAGGGCGCGUAGGCGGCCUUCUAAGUCAGACGUGAAAUCCCCCGGCUUAACCGGGGAACUGCGUCUGAUACUGGAUGGCUUGAGUUUGGGAGAGGGAUGCGGAAUUCCCAGGUGUAGCGGUGAAAUGGCGUAGAUAUCUGGAGGACACCGAUGGCGAGGCAGCCUCCUGGGAUAACGACUGC